rnacentral:ncRNA from 1 species
GAGAGCCGGAUGCGGGAGACCUGCAUGUCCGGUUCGACGAGCGGGAUGUGGAAACGGAGUUAGGGCGAGCUUAU